CCUAUUCUUUUUAUGUCUCGCCAAGCUCUCUCUAUAUUGUUUUAUUUUUAUUUUUCACUAAUAAUAAUAAUAAAGCCCUGUCCCAUAUUAAGUGUUUUAACUCCCGAUCACCGCUACCCUUUCCGAUUGAUCUAAGCCCCAUAACACAUGUCAGGGCUUUGCCCGACUAAGUUCAUUGGGGUUCUGUCUCGGGACUUCAGGACAAGGUUGAAUUAGGGGUACUAUACUUAAUACGAGUGCAUUAUAUAUAUAUAUAUAUAAAGUGGGUCCAUUCUCUUUUCUCACCAUGUUAUUCCUUCUUAUCCCAAACCAUAACAACUCUCACCAAAACUACUAUUUAUUAUUUUAUUUGCCCAAUAGGAAACCCUAAUUGAGACACCCAAGUAAUCCUGCACAACUCCUAAAAUUUUCAGAAUAAUCAGAAUCAGGAUCAGGGCCCCCAAAACUUAGGGGGGGGGGGUAUUCCCUACUUGACGAUUAUCCACAUAACUCGCUGUAGAAAUCAAAUUUAUAAAUUCCGUAGACUCAUACAAGCUAGUUGGACACGUGGCAAGCCUAUGAUGAAACGUGGCCCGUCGCGUCACGCGACGCCCCUAUGGGACCCCUCGCGUCACGCGAGGGGGUCAAAUUUCAGCUAUAAAUAGAAGGGGUUACGAGCAGCUCAAAAACACAGUAGCGAGGCGCUGCUACGAUACAGGGUAAUUACAGUAGAUUGGAGUAAGAGUUGGAUACGGCACCGAAAAGGCUUACAGAAGUGGCUUGAUUUAUCAAUUAAAUAAAAAUUAAGAAAAGUUGUUUUAUGUAUCAAGUUUAUAUUAAAAAGCUACCCUUGUAAAACAUGGAAUUUAUUCCAUCUAUUUAAAUAAAAUCCGGUGUUUCUAAA